AGAGUUUGAUCCUGGCUCAGGAUGAACGCUAGCGACAGGCUUAACACAUGCAAGUCGAGGGGCAGCGGGGAGGUAGCAAUACUUCCGCCGGCGACCGGCGCACGGGUGAGUAACACGUAUGGAACCUGCCCGUAGCAGGGGGAUAAACGGAAGAAAUUCCGUCUAAUACCGCGUAAUAACUCCGAGAGGCAUCUCAUGGAGUUUAAAGGGUAACACCGGCUACGGAUGGCCAUGCGGCGCAUUAGCUAGUUGGCGGGGUAACGGCCCACCAAGGCGACGAUGCGUAGGGGUUCUGAGAGGAAGGUCCCCCACACUGGUACUGAGACACGGACCAGACUCCUACGGGAGGCAGCAGUGAGGAAUAUUGGUCAAUGGGCGCGAGCCUGAACCAGCCAAGUCGCGUGAGGGAAGACGGUCCUAUGGAUUGUAAACCUCUUUUGUCGAGGAGCAAAAGACGCCACGUGUGGCGUUCCGAGAGUACCCGAAGAAAAAGCAUCGGCUAACUCCGUGCCAGCAGCCGCGGUAAUACGGAGGAUGCGAGCGUUAUCCGGAUUUAUUGGGUUUAAAGGGUGCGCAGGCGGAAGAUCAAGUCAGCGGUAAAAUUGAGAGGCUCAACCUCUUCGAGCCGUUGAAACUGGUUUUCUUGAGUGAGCGAGAAGUAUGCGGAAUGCGUGGUGUAGCGGUGAAAUGCAUAGAUAUCACGCAGAACUCCGAUUGCGAAGGCAGCAUACCGGCGCUCAACUGACGCUCAUGCACGAAAGUGUGGGUAUCGAACAGGAUUAGAUACCCUGGUAGUCCACACAGUAAACGAUGAAUACUAAUUGUUCGGGGAGAAUGAUCCCUGAGUGAUACAGCGAAAGCGUUAAGUAUUCCACCUGGGGAGUACGCCGGCAACGGUGAAACUCAAAGGAAUUGACGGGGGCCCGCACAAGCGGAGGAACAUGUGGUUUAAUUCGAUGAUACGCGAGGAACCUUACCCGGGCUCAAACGACACAGGAAUACUUUUGAAAGGAGGUAGCUCUACGGAGUCUGUGUCGAGGUGCUGCAUGGUUGUCGUCAGCUCGUGCCGUGAGGUGUCGGCUUAAGUGCCAUAACGAGCGCAACCCCCAUCGCCAGUUACCAGCAAGUCAAGUUGGGGACUCUGGCGAGACUGCCGGCGCAAGCUGUGAGGAAGGCGGGGAUGACGUCAAAUCAGCACGGCCCUUACGUCCGGGGCGACACACGUGUUACAAUGGCAGGUACAGAGAGAAGCAAUGCGGCGACGCAAAGCGGAACUUGAAAGCCUGUCUCAGUUCGGAUUGGAGUCUGCAACUCGACUCCAUGAAGCUGGAUUCGCUAGUAAUCGCGCAUCAGCCAUGGCGCGGUGAAUACGUUCCCGGGCCUUGUACACACCGCCCGUCAAG
rnacentral:rRNA from 1 species